rnacentral:rRNA from 1 species
UGCGCAGGCGGUCGGGUGCGUCAGAGGUGAAAUAUCCGGGCUUAACCCGGAGGGUGCCUUUGAUACGGCUUGACUUGAGUCCGAGAGAGGGUGAUGGAAUUCCUGGUGUAGCGGUGAAAUGCGUAGAUAUCAGGAGGAACACCGGUGGCGAAGGCGGUCACCUGGCUCGGAACUGACGCUCAGGCACGAAAGCGCGGGGAUCAAACA